rnacentral:misc_RNA from 1 species
AAAAAGGGUAGGCGCCAUAAAAAGUGAGUAAAACUUUUUCUUUUCUUCUUCCCCUUUUCUUCUUCUGUUUUGGUUGGUUUGAUCGAUUGAAUUGGAUUUGAAUUUUGCCGAAAUCAGUUCAUGUGUUUUUUUUUUUUGAAUAAUCGUUUCUUAAAAUACUUGUGGUUUUCUGUUUGGUAAUUGCAUUGAUGCGUUGAUAUACUUGUGUGGAUUAUUAGAUGCAUGCGUCGUGCUAUCUUUUGGUUCGCUGCGGGUGAGAAUUUUAAUUUUAGGUUGAAGUUUAUUUCCUGUAUGUAAUGAGCUUAGAAUGAACCAAUGUUUUGUGUUUGAACAUGCUGAGUUUCCUUUUCCUUAUCACCUUGUGGCUUUAUGCAUAAUUUUGCCUUCUAUCAGUUCUAUGUGGGUGAUUUUCGCAGUUGCUUCGCUGGCUGAAUAAUUUUCUGGCCAAACAGUUCUGAAGCCUACAUGUGUUCUUGUAAAGUCCUGUGCCAGUUCUAAUGUUUCUAUAAACUAUAUCAUUCUAAAAUAUUGGCUGCUGUGGAUAGUCUUUUCUUAGCGAAGCAUUUUUAUUGAGCGACUUGGUUUAUUGAUCAACUGCUUGCAUAAACAUCUACAUAUAUACAUAUUAAAUUCCGUAAAACGUCUAAUCCGUUUUACUUCUAAAAUACUGCUUUCUUUAUGUUUGUCACCAUUGGGAUGAUUAUGUGAUUUGCUAUGCAUCUUCUUGUUAAAUGAUACAGAGAAAAGAUGUUCGCAAUUGUUUCCUUUAUUUUCUUAUCUUGUUAUGUUUAUUGUUGCUUUUCCGCUUUUUGAUGAUUUAAGAGGCAACUUUAUGGAGGCUCGUAAGCCCUAAUGCUAAUUGAAUUUUAUUCAUUGUUAUGGGAGGGACCUUGAAAAGAAAAUUUGAACAUAUGGUGGAGUUGUGGACAAGCAAUGAUAUAUUGGUUGAAAUUGGGUGGACUUUAUUGAAUGUGAUUAUUUGUAAUUAACAGUCAAGUUCAAAUGUUGAUAACUCAAGAAUGGACUGUUUGAAUUGGAGCUUGUUAAUUUACCUUAACCGGACAGUAGAUGAGCUUCAAUGUUUAGUCAUGAGGAUGGCAAGUAUGUAUAAAAGGCAUAAAAGGUUUAGUUCCAGAGAGUAAUUAUAAUACAAACAUUAACAGGAUGAAAAGCAAGAAUUAUUCAGCUCAGUGGACAAGUGGAAUCUGCAUGUCUUCUUGAAUUGGUUUAUUAAGAUUAAUUUUGCACUUUUCUUACUCUCCUAUGGUCUUUCUGUGGGAGAGUGUGCAUGCACACUUCUUGAAUGUGCGAGAAUGUAUGAAGACUUGCGGCACAAUGAACUGAUAAAAAGAGACUCCCAUAAAUUAUUAUUAUUAUUAUUAU